rnacentral:rRNA from 1 species
CCUACGGGGGGCAGCAGUGGGGAAUAUUGCGCAAUGGGCGAAAGCCUGACGCAGCGACGCCGCGUGAGGGAUGAAGGUCUUCGGAUCAUAAACCUCUGUCAGCAGGGAAGAACGGUCACUGUGCUAAUCAGCAGUGAAUUGACGGUACCUGCAAAGGAAGCACCGGCUAACUCCGUGCCAGCAGCCGCGGUAAUACGGAGGGUGCGAGCGUUAAUCGGAAUUACUGGGCGUAAAGCGCUCGUAGGCGGUAUGUCAAGUCAAGGGUGAAAUCCCCGCGCUCAACGUGGGAACUGCCUUUGAAACGGGCAAACUGGAGUGUGUGAGAGGAUAGUGGAAUUCCAGGUGUAGGAGUGAAAGCCGUAGAUAUCUGGAGGAACAUCAGUGGCGAAGGCGACUAUCUGGCACAUAACUGACGCUGAGGAGCGAAAGCGUGGGUAGCAAACAGGAUUAGAUACCCCAGUAGUC